GCAUUUGCAGGUACAGAAGGCUUCAUCCUAUACAUGAGAUUUGCAAAAUUACAGUUGCGUUAGUGCAACAGGCCUUUUACAUCCACCGGCUGAAAGUGACGCGUAUCUGGUUGUUAUUUGUGUUGUAUCACUAAGGCAAAAGUUUGAAGCGUGCAUCUCAACCGUUCCCGAUUACUACCCACCUGAAUAAGACAGCUGUGCAAUUUAUUCAUACGAAUAAUUUACGUAAGAGAAGCCAGACUGCAGCAGUACAAUACAUGAUGUAUACAGAUGCAGAUCUUUAGGAAGGCUGAGCACCAGCUUCCCCCUUGGAACGCUUGGGCAGGACUUCGUUGAGUUUAGAACUAGUGAAGAACUGGACGCGAUCUUCCUUCCUUUCCCAAUUCGUUUUGUACCAAAGCUGUUAAAGUCCAGAGGAACAGGGACCUUAAUUAACCAUACAUCCACCAAUUCACCACCAACUCGGAUCGCAUGUUGCUUUCCAUUCAGCCCACUGGGAAAAAGUGUAUUUUGCAGCCAGAUGUCCAGAAAUCAGGUCUUCCGGGUCAAAAAGAAGAUUACAAAGAUUUCCCGAGGAUAAAACAGCUAAAUUGUCAUCGGUCUCUAAGGUGGUUAGAUCUGCAAUCUGGUGUUUCUGUCUUUGCAUUACUUUCCCUCUGAGAGUGCCUCUAAGAC
rnacentral:lncRNA from 1 species